AACGAACGCUGGCGGCAUGCCUAACACAUGCAAGUCGAACGAGACCUUCGGGUCUAGUGGCGCACGGGUUCGUAACGCGUGGGAACCUGCCCUUAGGUUCGGAAUAACUCCCCGAAAGGGGUGCUAAUACCGGAUAAUGUCUUCGGACCAAAGAUUUAUCGCCUUUGGAUGGGCCCGCGUUGGAUUAGCUAGUUGGUAGGGUAAAAGCCUACCAAGGCGACGAUCCAUAGCUGGUCUGAGAGGAUGAUCAGCCACACUGGGACUGAGACACGGCCCAGACUCCUACGGGAGGCAGCAGUGGGGAAUAUUGGAAAAUGGGCGAAAGCAUGAUCCAGCAAUGACGCGUGAGUGAUGAAGGCAUUAGGGUUGUAAAGCUCUUUUAACCGGGAUGAUAAUGACAGUACCGGGAGAAUAAGCCCCGGCUAACUACGUG
rnacentral:rRNA from 1 species